rnacentral:rRNA from 1 species
CCAGCAUUCAGUUGGGCACUCUAAGGUGACGUGCCGGCGUAAAAAGUCGGAGGAAGGUGGGGAUGACGUCAAAUCAUCAUGCCCCUUAUGACCUGGGCUACACACGUGCUACAAUGGGCGGUACAAAGGGUCGCGAACCCGCGAGGGGGAGCCAAUCCCAAAAAGCCGCUCUCAGUUCGGAUUGCAGGCUGCAACUCGCCUGCAUGAAGCCGGAAUCGCUAGUAAUCGCGGAUCAGCAUGCCGCGGUGAAUACGUUCCCGGGCCUU